CAUAGGUUAAUGAGGCGAACCGGGGGAACUGAAACAUCUAAGUACCCCGAGGAAAAGAAAUCAACCGAGAUUCCCCCAGUAGCGGCGAGCGAACGGGGAGGAGCCCAGAGCCUGAAUCAGUGUGUGUGUUAGUGGAAGCGUCUGGAAAGGCGCGCGAUACAGGGUGACAGCCCCGUACACAAAAAUGCACAUAUUGUGAGCUCGAUGAGUAGGGCGGGACACGUGGUAUCCUGUCUGAAUAUGGGGGGACCAUCCUCCAAGGCUAAAUACUCCUGACUGACCGAUAGUGAACCAGUACCGUGAGGGAAAGGCGAAAAGAACCCCGGCGAGGGGAGUGAAAAAGAACCUGAAACCGUGUACGUACAAGCAGUGGGAGCCUCUUAAUGGGGUGACUGCGUACCUUUUGUAUAAUGGGUCAGCGACUUAUAUUCUGUAGCAAGGUUAACCGAAUAGGGGAGCCGAAGGGAAACCGAGUCUUAACUGGGCGUUAAGUUGCAGGGUAUAGACCCGAAACCCGGUGAUCUAGCCAUGGGCAGGUUGAAGGUUGGGUAACACUAACUGGAGGACCGAACCGACUAAUGUUGAAAAAUUAGCGGAUGACUUGUGGCUGGGGGUGAAAGGCCAAUCAAACCGGGAGAUAGCUGGUUCUCCCCGAAAGCUAUUUAGGUAGCGCCUCGUGAAUUCAUCUCCGGGGGUAGAGCACUGUUUCGGCAAGGGGGUCAUCCCGACUUACCAACCCGAUGCAAACUGCGAAUACCGGAGAAUGUUAUCACGGGAGACACACGGCGGGUGCUAACGUCCGUC
rnacentral:rRNA from 1 species